UACGGGGGGAGCAAGCGUUGUUCGGAUUUACUGGGCGUAAAGGCGCGUAGGCGGUCAGCACAAGUCAGUUGUGAAAUCUCCGGGCUUAACUCGGAAAGGUCAACUGAUACUGUGCGACUAGAGUGCAGAAGGGGCAACUGGAAUUCUCGGUGUAGCGGUGAAAUGCGUAGAUAUCGAGAGGAACACCUGCGGCGAAGGCGGGUUGCUGGGCUGACACUGACGCUGAUGCGCGAAGGCUAGGGGAGCGAACGGG
rnacentral:rRNA from 1 species